rnacentral:rRNA from 1 species
GUCCUUUUGAUUUUUAUAUAAGGUCUGACCUGCCCUAUGAAUAUUUAAAUGGCCGCGGUAUACUAACCGUGCAAAGGUAGCAUAGUCAUUUGUCUCUUAAUUGGAGGCUUGAAUGAAGGGUUGGACGAGAUAUAAGCUUUCUUUGUUAUAUUUUAUUGAAUUUGACUUUUGAGUUAAAAGGCUUAAAUUUUUUUAUAGGACGAGAAGACCCUAUAGAAUUUUAUAUAUUUGUAUAACCGAUUUAUUUAUUUAUUAUUUAAUUUUUUGUUUAAAUAUAUUUUGUUGGGGCGAUGGGAAGAUUUUAAUAACUCUUUUUUGUUCUAAUCAUUGAUUUAUGUUUUAUUCUGAUCCUUUUUUAGAGAUUAUAAGAUUAAAUUACCUUAGGGAUAACAGCGUAAUUCUUUUGGAGAGUUCUUAUCGAUAAAAGAGUUUGCGA